AUUGAACGCUGGCGGCAUGCCUUACACAUGCAAGUCGAACGGUAACGGGCCUUCGGGUGCCGACGAGUGGCGAACGGGUGAGUAAUGCAUCGGAACGUACCUUUCAGUGGGGGAUAACGUAGCGAAAGUUACGCUAAUACCGCAUAUUCUGUGAGCAGGAAAGCAGGGGAUCGCAAGACCUUGCGCUGAUUGAGCGGCCGAUGUCAGAUUAGCUAGUUGGUGAGGUAAAGGCUCACCAAGGCGACGAUCUGUAGCGGGUCUGAGAGGAUGAUCCGCCACACUGGGACUGAGACACGGCCCAGACUCCUACGGGAGGCAGCAGUGGGGAAUUUUGGACAAUGGGGGCAACCCUGAUCCAGCCAUGCCGCGUGAGUGAAGAAGGCCUUCGGGUUGUAAAGCUCUUUCGGCCGGGAAGAAAUCGCACAGGCUAAUACCUUGUGUGGAUGACGGUACCGGAAUAAGAAGCACCGGCUAACUACGUGCCAGCCGCCGCGGUAA
rnacentral:rRNA from 1 species